UACAGAGGGGGCAAGCGUUGUUCGGAAUUACUGGGCGUAAAGGGCGCGUAGGCGGCCUGCUAAGUCGAACGUGAAAUCCCCGGGCUCAACCCGGGAACUGCGUCCGAUACUGGCUGGCUUGAAUCCGGGAGAGGGAUGCGGAAUUCCAGGUGUAGCGGUGAAAUGCGUAGAUAUCUGGAGGAACACCGGUGGCGAAGGCGGCAUCCUGGACCGGUAUUGACGCUGAGGCGCGAAAGCUAGGGGAGCAAACGGG
rnacentral:rRNA from 1 species